rnacentral:rRNA from 1 species
UUGAACGCUGGCGGCAGGCCUAACACAUGCAAGUCGAGCGGUUGAGAGUAGCUUGCUACUUGAUGCAGCGGCGGACGGGUGAGUAACGCGUGGGAAUCUGCCCAGUAGUGGGGGACAACAGCCGGAAACGGCUGCUAAUACCGCAUACGCCCUACGGGGGAAAGGGGGGGAUCUUCGGACCUCUCGCUAUUGGAUGAGCCCGCGUCAGAUUAGCUAGUUGGUAGGGUAAAGGCCUACCAAGGCUACGAUCCGUAACUGGUCUGAGAGGAUGAUCAGGCACUCUGGAACUGAGACACGGUCCAGACUCCUACGGGAGGCAGCAGUGGGGAAUAUUGGACAAUGGGGGAAACCCUGAUCCAGCCAUGCCGCGUGUGUGAAGAAGGCCUUAGGGUUGUAAAGCACUUUCAGUGGGGAGAAAGGUUUGUCACCUAAUACGUGGUGAAAUUGAUGUUACCCACAGAAGAAGCACCGGCUAACUCCGUGCCAGCCGCCGCAGUAACAC